GACGAACGCUGGCGGCGUGCCUAACACAUGCAAGUCGAGCGGGGUUGAAGCGAGGGGUAACUCGGACUUCUACCUAGCGGCGGACGGGUGAGUAACGCGUGGGCAACCUGCCUCAAGGUUUGGGAUAACAGCUCGAAAGGGCUGCUAAUACCGGAUAUGCCUGUGGCCUCGCAUGGGGCUAUGAGCAAAGGGGAAACCCGCCUUGAGAUGGGCCCGCGUCCCAUCAGCUAGUUGGUGAGGUGAAGGCUCACCAAGGCGACGACGGGUAGCCGGCCUGAGAGGGUGACCGGCCACACUGGGACUGAGACACGGCCCAGACUCCUACGGGGGGCAGCAGUGGGGGAUCUUGCACAAUGGGCGAAAGCCUGAUGCAGCGACGCCGCGUGAGCGAAGAAGGCCUUCGGUUGUAAAGCUCUGUCUGGAGGGACGAAACGAAAUAGACGGUACCUCCGGACGGAAGCCACGGCUAACUACGUG
rnacentral:rRNA from 1 species